GUAGGUGAACCUGCGGAAGGAUCAUUAACGUAGGGCUUAGGCCCUGCCGAGAUAGAACCCUUGCCUUUUGUAUACCAUCCGUUUCCUCGGCAGGCUCGCCUGCCAAUGGGGACCAAAAUAAACCUUUGUAAUAACCUGUAAUUAGUCUGAUAAAAAAAUAAAAAUUAAAACUUUUAACAACGGAUCUCUUGGUUCUG
rnacentral:misc_RNA from 1 species